rnacentral:rRNA from 1 species
AACGUAGGACACAAGCGUUAUCCGGAGUUACUGGGCGUAAAGGGCGUGUAGGCGGACCUAUAAGUCUAUUCUGAAAGCUCCUGGCUAAACUGGGAGAGGCGAAUGGAGACUGUAGAUCUAGAGUGAGGAAGAGGAAAGUGGAAUUCCGCGUGUAGUGGUGAAAUGCGUAGAUAUCAGGAGGAACACCGGUGGUGUAAACGGCUUUCUGGACCGUAACUGACGCUGAGGCACGAAAGCGUGGGUAGCAAACAGG